rnacentral:rRNA from 1 species
UACGUAGGGUGCAAGCGUUGUUCGGAAUUAUUGGGCGUAAAGCGCGUGUAGGUGGUCAUCUAAGUCGAGUGUGAAAUCCCUGGGCUCAACCUAGGAAGUGCAUUCGAAACUAGUUGACUAGAAGACAUUAGAGGAAGGUGGAAUUCCAAGUGUAGAGGUGAAAUUCGUAGAUAUUUGGAGGAAUACCGGCGGCGAAGGCGGCCUUCUGGGAUGUUCUUGACACUGAGACGCGAAAGCGUGGGUAGCAAACAGG